rnacentral:rRNA from 1 species
UACGGAGGAUCCGAGCGUUAUCCGGAUUUAUUGGGUUUAAAGGGUGCGUAGGCGGCCUAUUAAGUCAGGGGUGAAAGACGGUAGCUUAACUAUCGCAGUGCCUUUGAUACUGAUAGGCUUGAAUGUACUUGAGGUAGGCGGAAUAUGACAAGUAGCGGUGAAAUGCAUAGAUAUGUCACAGAACACCAAUUGCGAAGGCAGCUUACUAAAGUAUGAUUGACGCUGAGGCACGAAAGCGUGGGGAUCAAACAGG